CCCAGGGGUGGGGGCCUCAGGAAGCUGGGGAGAGCAGCGUAUUCCACGCGUUGCGCAUCCAGCUGCCGGGCUCUGGGCUCUGUGGUCUCCAGCUCGGAGCACAGGCAGCAGCGGAGACGUGGGAGCAGAACCUACGGAGGGACCGAUCCAGGCUGAACCCCCAUGUCUGGUGACAGGAGGGGUGGAGGGGCCGCUCUGGAAGUUUGUUCUCCAGCCGCAGCUGAGCCCAUGCCCCAGGGUAGGUCGCUGUCCCAGCAAAUGAGUGACCCCAAGAAUCAGAAAUCAGUCGCUGACCGCUCAAGCAGGAAAGGAGACUUUAUAGCAAAGGCGCAGGAUGUUCUCAUGGAGCCCGGACACGCAGCCCAGUUUGGAGCACGGGCACUCAGAGCUCUUGGAUUCUUUCUCAGCACCGCUUGCUUGCCUGUCCCAUUUGCCCGCCUGCGUCCCACCUGCCACGCUGAUGUGGCCUGGAUCCCUUCUCCCAGAGAGAACUAUGUCCGGGUCCCAAACCCCGGGAAGCAGGAAUCGGUUGUGGCCAGUGGUCAAGUUUAUACGCUACACUUCUGUCAUGACAAAGCGAGAAGGGCUACGAGAAGAGGGGGCCAGAUGGACAGCCAAGAGCAUCCACUCUCCAUCUCACACACACACACACACACACACACACACACACGCUAAUUCCUUCGGCUUUCCCCAGAUAUCUCCAUUCUGAUUGGUCUUGCUUAAUCGUUAUACCACAAAGUCCACCGCAAAUAUCUCAUCCCCCUGCCAAAUGGGAGGCGAUCCAAGUCAGGUCCAACUAUUGCGUCCAGGGCUCCAUUCUCAAAGCUGGGAUCUUCAGCUGACACCCGGUCCUGCCUAUUUCUACGGAGUCUCAUCUAAGGUGGCUGCUUGGAUCUGUCUCAAUCUAUAGGCUAAGCGAUCAGUUUAACCUCUCCUUCCAUGCUUGAUCUCUAGAGCAGAAAAGGGAAGGAAGAUACAGAGCACACACACACCCUGGUCUUCUAGCCAGGAGGAGUAAAUUAAACCUCAGGAACAAGAUA